rnacentral:rRNA from 1 species
GAUGAACGCUGGUGGCGUGCCUAAUACAUGCAAGUCGAGCGAACGGACGAGAAGCUUGCUUCUCUGAUGUUAGCGGCGGACGGGUGAGUAACACGUGGAUAACCUACCUAUAAGACUGGGAUAACUUCGGGAAACCGGAGCUAAUACCGGAUAAUAUUUUGAACCGCAUGGUUCAAAAGUGAAAGACGGUCUUGCUGUCACUUAUAGAUGGAUCCGCGCUGCAUUAGCUAGUUGGUAAGGUAACGGCUUACCAAGGCAACGAUGCAUAGCCGACCUGAGAGGGUGAUCGGCCACACUGGAACUGAGACACGGUCCAGACUCCUACGGGAGGCAGCAGUAGGGAAUCUUCCGCAAUGGGCGAAAGCCUGACGGAGCAACGCCGCGUGAGUGAUGAAGGUCUUCGGAUCGUAAAACUCUGUUAUUAGGGAAGAACAUAUGUGUAAGUAACUGUGCACAUCUUGACGGUACCUAAUCAGAAAGCCACGGCUAACUACGUGCCAGCAGCCGCGGUAAUACGUAGGUGGCAAGCGUUAUCCGGAAUUAUUGGGCGUAAAGCGCGCGUAGGCGGUUUUUUAAGUCUGAUGUGAAAGCCCACGGCUCAACCGUGGAGGGUCAUUGGAAACUGGAAAACUUGAGUGCAGAAGAGGAAAGUGGAAUUCCAUGUGUAGCGGUGAAAUGCGCAGAGAUAUGGAGGAACACCAGUGGCGAAGGCGACUUUCUGGUCUGUAACUGACGCUGAUGUGCGAAAGCGUGGGGAUCAAACAGGAUUAGAUACCCUGGUAGUCCACGCCGUAAACGAUGAGUGCUAAGUGUUAGGGGGUUUCCGCCCCUUAGUGCUGCAGCUAACGCAUUAAGCACUCCGCCUGGGGAGUACGACCGCAAGGUUGAAACUCAAAGGAAUUGACGGGGACCCGCACAAGCGGUGGAGCAUGUGGUUUAAUUCGAAGCAACGCGAAGAACCUUACCAAAUCUUGACACCCUUUGACAACUCUAGAGAUAGAGCCUUCCCCUUCGGGGGACAAAGUGACAGGUGGUGCAUGGUUGUCGUCAGCUCGUGUCGUGAGAUGUUGGGUUAAGUCCCGCAACGAGCGCAACCCUUAAGCUUAGUUGCCAUCAUUAAGUUGGGCACUCUAAGUUGACUGCCGGUGACAAACCGGAGGAAGGUGGGGAUGACGUCAAAUCAUCAUGCCCCUUAUGAUUUGGGCUACACACGUGCUACAAUGGACAAUACAAAGGGCAGCGAAACCGCGAGGUCAAGCAAAUCCCAUAAAGUUGUUCUCAGUUCGGAUUGUAGUCUGCAACUCGACUACAUGAAGCUGGAAUCGCUAGUAAUCGUAGAUCAGCAUGCUACGGUGAAUACGUUCCCGGGUCU